rnacentral:rRNA from 1 species
UACGGAGGGGGCUAGCGUUGUUCGGAAUUACUGGGCGUAAAGCGUACGUAGGCGGCUUUGUAAGUUAGAGGUGAAAGCCCGGAGCUCAACUCCGGAAUUGCCUUUAAGACUGCAUCGCUUGAAUCAUGGAGAGGUGAGUGGAAUUCCGAGUGUAGAGGUGAAAUGCGUAGAUAUCUGGAGGAACACCGGUGGCGAAGGCGGCAUCCUGGACCGGUAUUGACGCUGAGGCGCGAAAGCGUGGGGAGCAAACAGG